CGGGAUUAUGGUCGUUCUGCAAACGAAAUAAAACGAGUGAAUAAAACCUAUCGCGAGAUAUACGCGUAAACAGUGAUUUACUUCAAGUAGCAGCUUAGCAGCUUUAACGUCAUCCUUUUUGGCUGCUAUGUGAAGAGCAGAUGUUCGAGGACUUUGUCCAGGUGUCCAGCACGCGCAGCGCGCAAGAAAGAUGUAUUGCCAUCAGACUUUUCAGGUCGCAUAGGAUGCUCAACUGUACCAGCUCAGAACCAUUUUGUAAUUAGAAAUUCUUGGGUUAUUAAGGGGAUCAUUAACGAAAUUACAUGACAGGGUGUAUAUAAAUGUUCGCCUGUUUACCAUAAUUAUAGUAGUACCAUAAGAUGUGACCAGAUAAUUUUUAAAUUUCCUUCUUUUUAAAUACUGUGAAUAAUUAAUUCUAGGUUGUAUAAACCUAAUGAUCUUUUAAUAAUAUACAGGGUGUUAGGUGGAUUUUUUUAUGAUGUAAUCGCUACUUCAUACAUUAAUGUUUUGGUAGACAAUAUUUUCGGAAAUGUCUUCCUAACUUUAUAUGAGUAAUUGCUAUACUUCUUGUUGAUAAGUUACCGAAACAGUUGGUAGCAGUUUUAUUUUAUAUUCGCGUUCACAACACCGGUAACAUUUGAACCUUUAAUAGAUCUCUGACAUGCAAUGCAGGCAUAUCCUUCUAUUGUGAACCAGGUAGACAUAAAAUUAUAAAUAAAAUGUUUGAUUAAUAUUGAA